rnacentral:lncRNA from 1 species
GCAUUGCAAUUUCUACGCAUUGUAAUUUCGAUGGGUUGAAAUUUCUACGCGUUGCAAUUUGGAUGCGUUGUGUAUUCGGCGCGUUGUAAUCUUAAUGCGCCGCGGUUUCGAUGCGUUGUGUACUCGGCGCAUUGCAAUUUCUACGCACUGUAAUUUUGAUGGGCCGAAAUUUCUACGCAUUGCAAUUUUGAUGCGUCGCGUAUUCAGCGCGUUGUAAUUUUAAUGCGCCGCGAUUUCGACGCGUUGUAUACUUGGCGCAUUGUAAUUUCGAUGCGUUGUAUAUUCGGCGCGUUGUAAUUUCUACGCGUUGUAUAUUCGGCGCGUUACAAUUUCGAUACGUUGUAAUUUCGACGCGUUGUAUACUGGGCAUAUUGCAAUUUUGUCGCGUUGUAUAUUCAGCGCGUUAUAAUUUCGAUGCGUUGCAAUUUCAACGCGUUGUAUAUUCAGCGCGUUAUAAUUUCGGUGCGUUGCAAUUUCGACGCGUUGUAUAUUCAGCACGUUGUACUUUCGAUGCGUUGUAUAUUCGAUGCAUUUUAUAUUUGACGCAUCUUAUAUUUGGCACAUUGUAUUUUCGACGCGUUGUAUUUCCGUAACAUUGUAUACUCGGCACAUUUAUAUAUAGGGAUCGUUGUAUAUUUUCCACGCUAAUAUAUCCAUCACGUCAUAUAGUCAACACAUUCCUACAUCCAUUACGUCAUUUGAACAUAUUCAUAUGUAUAUCCAUCACGUCACAUAUGUGCCACAUUUAUAUUGUAUAUCCAUCAUGUUACAUAUUCGACAUUUCUACACAUGUAUCCAUCACGUCACAUAGUCGAUACAUUUGUACAAUAUAUCUAUCACCUCAUAUAUUCAACACAUAUAUAUAUGCGUCACAUUUAUAUGUACAUUUAUCAUGUCAUAUAUUCGACACAUUUGUUAGCAUCAUAUGUUAGCAUCAUAUAUCAGACGUAUUUAUAUAUCCAUUCCGUUAUAUAUCGUAUACAUUGUCUUACUAGGUAAUGCACAUCAAUGUGUUAUAUUGUCACACAUAUAUUCGACACAUUAUUAGCAUCACACAUUAAACAUAUUUGUAUAUCCAUCUCGUUAUAUCUAUAUCCUAUGCACUGUAUUACCAGACAGUAUACAUCAAUGCUAUAUAAUAUUGCCACACAUAUGUUAUCACAUUCACAUAUGUGAAUGACCAACAGUUUGAAUUACCCGCGUUCUCACAUUACGCCAUCUCGCGCAAAUCGAUGCUAAUGAAUCGAACAAGGGAUAUCAAGACGUUCGAUUUUCGAUCACUUCGCAGUUCGAGUAGUACGAUGGAAGUGAUCGGCACGAAGAAAUACUUAUGAUUUUUCAAGAAGAAUACUGUUACAUUAAUUGAAAUUCGAGUUGGUGAUUGAUUAUUUUUCAUGAAAGCUACAUGAGUAGAGAAUCUGAAAGAUAAAAUGAACGUAAAACCAUCAAAUGUACAGCUUCGAGAUAAUUCGAGAUCUUCUCGAACAGUAACCAUCUUCUUGUUUCGAAACCGAGCAUUGUUAAGACCACGAGGGUACUUUGGAAUUCCAAGAAAUUUACGUAUUGCAAAAAAAAUACCUCGCGCAUAUUUAACUUUAUCUCAUGCUGCUUCGCACUUUUGUCGCUCUGUCGUAGAAACAAAAUGGAUAGAGGAAGAUGUUGGACAACAAGAAGACUCGUUUGGACGCAGUACAUCAAAAUUAGUCAACCACGAUUCAGCCAUUGCAGAGAUUACAAAUUUUGAUCAUGAUUGCUCAAUCAUGACCAACACGAACACCUGAACAACCAAAAGACCACACCAAUACAAACGAACAU